AGACAGAGGGUGCAAACGUUGCUCGGAAUUACUGGGCGUAAAGGGCGCGUAGGCGGACUUGGAAGUCGGGUGUGAAAUCCCUGGGCUCAACCUAGGAAUUGCACUCGAAACUCCGAGUCUAGAGUGACGGAGAGGAAAGCGGAAUUCCCGGUGUAGAGGUGAAAUUCGUAGAUAUCGGGAGGAACACCAGAGGCGAAGGCGGCUUUCUGGACGUCCACUGACGCUGAGGCGCGAAAGCGUGGGGAGCAAACAGGAUUAGGUACCCUGGUAGUCCACGCCGUAAACGAUGGGCACUAGGUGUCGCGACGAUGACUGUUGCGGCGCCGUAGCUAACGCAUUAAGUGCCCCGCCUGGGGAGUACGGCCGCAAGGCUAAA
rnacentral:rRNA from 1 species